rnacentral:rRNA from 1 species
UACAGAGGAUGCAAGCGUUAUCCGGAAUGAUUGGGCGUAAAGCGUCUGUAGGUGGCUUUUUAAGUCCGCCGUCAAAUCCCAGGGCUCAACUCUGGACAGGCGGUGGAAACUACCAAGCUGGAGUACGGUAGGGGCAGAGGGAAUUUCCGGUGGAGCGGUGAAAUGCGUAGAUAUCAUUUGGAACGCCAACGGUGAAAACAGCUGGCUGGGGGUGUGCUGACGCUGAGACACGAAAGCCAGGGGAGCGAACGGG